AAGUGGCGAUGAGGCUUGGGUCUUACGCGACGGGAAUCUGUGAAUCGUGUCAGGUCGGGAACGAAGCAGCACUAAGCAGAACCUUCCGGGUGCCGUAAGGGUGCCUGGGCUGAGUUAACUGUUAAGGUAACGUCUGGGAAUUUGCGUUCGAAGCGCAAUG
rnacentral:SRP_RNA from 1 species